UACAGAGGGGGCAAGCGUUGUUCGGAAUUACUGGGCGUAAAGGGCGCGUAGGCGGCCUUCUAAGUCGAACGUGAAAUCCCCGGGCUCAACCCGGGAACUGCGUCCGAUACUGGAAGGCUUGAAUCCGGGAGAGGGAUGUGGAAUUCCAGGUGUAGCGGUGAAAUGCGUAGAUAUCGGGAGGAACACCAGUGGCGAAGGCGACUUCCUGGCCUGUUCUUGACGCUGAGGCGCGAAAGCUAGGGUAGCAAACGGG
rnacentral:rRNA from 1 species